rnacentral:lncRNA from 1 species
UUUCUGCUAUCAGUUGAACAUGCAUGCUUCUCGCUGUCGCCAUCGACAUCAAUGGAAGCCUGAUAAAUAGUUUGACCACCCUUUAUCAGCAGAAAAAGAAAGGGACAGUAUUUCUCUGGACCAUAUAGCCUACACCUGGCAUUUUUUUUCUUCUCAAACAAGAGCAGAUACAGUAGGUGACUCUGUGCCCUAUGACAGAGUGUUCUUCAGUGUUACCUCAGUUCCAGGAGUCCCAGCAGGACAUGGACGGGGAGUCAGGGCGUUCAGAACAUCACCAACAGCCCAUGACACCGAGACAGUUUCAGGACUGGCGGAAUAGUCUAGGCAAGAGUUCAGCACUAGACCAGGAUAGACUGAACCUGCAAGGUCUUGACCAGGGUCCAGCACAAGACAAGGAAACACUGCCAGGUCUUGACCAGGGUCCAGCACAAGACAAGGAAACACUGCCAGGUCUUGACCAGGGUCCAGCACAAGACAAGGAAACACUGCCAGGUCUUGACCAGGGUCCAGCACAAGACAAGGAAACACUGCCAGGUCUUGACCAGGGUCCAGCACAAGACAAGGAAACACUGCCAGGUCUUGACCAGGGUCCAGCACAAGACAAGGAAACACUGCCAGGUCUUGACCAGGGUCCAGCACAAGACAAGGAAACACUGCAUGGUUUUAAACAGGGACCAGCACAAGACCAGGCGAGUCGGAAUUACUUCCAUCAAGUCCAGGAUCAGGAUCGUUCACUAGGCUCCAAUAAAUGCACAACAGAAGAACAGGAUCCUUCCAUAAAGGUCUCAGUCCAGGAUGAGGAUCCACCAGGGAACCAGGACUAUCAAUGUAAUUUAGACCUGGAGCAAUGCACAGCUCAUAGCGCAGACCAGGGUGAAAACAGGCUGAGUGGUGUGAACCAGGAUCCAGUAUAUUUUGGUCCCGCACAAGACCACAGCAGCCCUCAUGACAUCCCCAUUCUGGUAUCAGCUGGGAACCAGAACCAAACACAGGACUCAAUCCAUGAUCUAGCUGGUGGAAUGGAUCUACCACACUGCACAGAUCCAAAUCCAACCCCAAAACAGGACCAAGAGAAACUGCUUGGGACAGACCAGGAGCAGGCCCUAGUGGACCCAGACAGACGACUUAACCCAAACCAGGACCACGCCACAGAUGAGGCUUGUGGGGAAGAUGCGGCAGGGGAACAAGGCGCCUGUAUCCCAGCGGUGGUGAUCACUCAGACAGAAGGGAGCCGGGGGCCAGUGGUGAAUCAAGGUGGAGAGACAGCGCCAGAGGUAACGGAGAGAGUGGAGGCUGGACCACUGUGUCCACAGACACCAGCAGAGAGGCCAGAGAUACCAACAGGACCAGAGAGACCACAAGAACUAGCAAUCGCAGCCAUGGUUCCAGUGACCACUUUAGACCUCAGCCCCAGCCCUCUCAGUGCAGACCUCAGUCCCAGCCUCAUCGAAGGGGGGGACCUACUGGCCUGCUGUGAUCUGCUGUCCCUGAAGAGUGACACUGUGUCCCUGGCCAGGAGUGAGGGAUAUGUCCAGGAAGAAGAUACAAGAAGUGUGGCUGCAUCCUCUGUCAUGGUAUGCUCAGCAUUCUGGUGCCGUGUAUUCUAUUCCAAUAUAAGAGAGUAUGUAUAUAUAUAUGCUCAAACAAAUUAAGGGAACACUAAAAUAACACAUCCUAGAUAUGAAUGAAUGAAUGAAAUAUUCUUAUUAAAUACUUUUUUCUUUACAUAGUUGAAUGUGCUGACAACAAAAUCACACAAAAAUUAUCAAUGCAAAUUUAUCAACCCAUGGAGGUCUGGAGUGACACUCAAAAUUAAAGUGGAAAACCACACUACAGGCUGAUCCAACUUUGAUGCAAUGUCCUUUAAAACAAGUCAAAAUGAGGCUCAGUAGUGUGUGUGGCCUCCACGUGCCUGUAUGACCUCCCUACAACGCCUGGGCAUGCUCCUGAUGAGGUGGUGGAUGGUCUCCUCAGGGAUCUCCUCCCAGACCUGGACUAAAGCAUCCGCCAACUCCUGGACAGUCUGUGGUGGUUGGAGCGAGACAUGAUGUCCCAGAUGUGCUCAAUUGGAUUCAGGUCUGGGGAACGGGCGGGCCAGUCCAUAGCAUCAAUGCCUUCCUCUUGCAGGAACUGCUGACACACUCCAGUCACAUGAGGUCUAACAUUGUCUUGCAUUAGGAGGAACCCAGGGCCAACCGCACCAGCAUAUGGUCUCACAAGGGGUCUGAGGAUCUCAUCUCGGUACCUAAUGGCAGUCAGGCUACCUCUGGCGAGCACAUGGAGGGCUGUGCGGCCCCCCAAAGAAAUGCCACCCCACACCAUGACUGAUCCACCGCCAAACCGGUCAUGCUGGAGGAUGUUGCAGGCAGCAGAACGUUCUCCACGGCGUCUCCAGACUCUGUCACGUGCUCAGUGUGAACCUGCUUUCAUCUGUGAAGAGCACAUGGCGCCAGUGGCGAAUUUGCCAAUCUUGGUGUUCUCUGGCAAAUGCCAAACGUCCUGCACGGUGUUGGGCUGUAAGCACAACCCCCACCUGUGGACGUCGGGCCCUCCUACCACCCUCAUGGAGUCUGUUUCUGACCGUUUGAGCAGACACAUGCACAUUUGUGGCCUGCUGGAGGUCAUUUUGCAGGGCUCUGGCAGUGCUCCUCCUGCUCCUCCUUGCACAAAGGCGGAGGUAGAGGUCCUGCUGCUUAGUUGUUGCCCUCCUACGGCCUCCUCCAUGUCUUCUGAUGUACUGGCCUGUCUCCUGGUAGCGCCUCCAUGCUCUGGACACUACGCUGACAGACACAGCAAACCCUCUUGCCACAGCUCGCAUUGAUGUGCCAUCCUGGAUGAGCUGCACUACCUGAGCCACUUGUGUGGGUUGUAGACUCCGUCUCAUGCUACCACUAGAGUGAAAGCACCGCCAGCAUUCAAAAGUGACCAAAACCUCAGCCAGGAAGCAUAGGAACUGAGGAGUGGUCUGUGGUUGCCACCUGCAGAACCACUCCUUUAUUUGGGGUGUCUUGCUAAUUGCCUAUAAUUUUCACCUGUUGUCUAUUCCAUUUACACGACAGCAUGUGACAUUUAUUGUCAAUCACUGUUGCUUCAUAAGUGGACAGUUUGAUUUCACAGAAGUGUGAUUGACUUGGAGUUACAUUGUGUUGUUUAAGUGUUCUUUGAAGAGAGAGAGAGAGAGAGAGGCAUUCUGAGCUGCCAUCAGGAUAAAAUGGAGCCUCUUUCCCCCCACGCCGUUCCCAUGGUGAUAUCCCAUAAUCACUCCUGUCUUCCUUCGUGGUGGGACACAGACUCAUUGGCUCAUUGGCUGUGACAGCCUCCUACCUCUCACUGACUAGAAGCAGCAGGGGCCUGAGAGGAGCCAUCGGUGGAAAUAGCAGGGAAUCUCCUAUAACUGAACGAGAGGGGAAGGAUGGAGGGAGGGAGAAAGAGGGUGGGGUAAUUAGAGAACGGUACCCAUAAGUAGGUAGGAGAGUGAGAUGGGUCCCUACAGUGAUGCUCAUCAUAACACUAGGGGUUCGUGUCCAUAAUUAGACCUACUUUACUACAGUAUCUUACUGUAUAUUGGCUUUGGAAAAACGUGGAGACUUCUCCAGUUACACAAACAGUAUGAAAACCAUCAUUUUAAUUUGAACACAUUUUUCUUCCCUCAUUCUCCCUCUGUAUGGGUAGCUGCCUCUGAUAUCGAACCCACGACCCUGGCGUUGCAAUACCGCAUUAUACUGUAUGUCCUCUCACUUUCUUUCAGUGUCCCUCCCGCCCUCUAUCCUCUAGCUAACUCUGCCUCUCUGCUGCCACCAUUCCCCCCACUGUGGUGCUGUUGUCAGGCUGAGGGACAGCUUCCCAGGGCGAAAGGUAGAGAGGCAGGGUUUUAUAAUUAACGUGGAGCUGACACCUGCAUGGCCAGUGUAAACAGGUGAACUGUGAAGAAGAGGCCCUCCCUGGCAGGCCACUGAUUAAAGCCUGGCUCUCUGCUUCUCUCUCAUUCACGCUGUCCCGCUGGUCAAUAAACACCACUAAUGGUAUCAGACCACCCACCCAGCCCACGGGCACGGAUAAAGGUCAAACAUAACAGGGAGGGGUGGGGCUGGUCUGUGGCCUGAGUGUACUGUAGUUGGACUGAACCUAAUUUCAGAAAAGUUCAAUAUGAUUCUACAACCUAAAACAAAUUAUAUAUAUUUUAUAGAUGAGUUUGCACAAGCGAGUGCACUCAAAGGUACUCAUGUCGCUCUGUUUGUUAGAUUGAUGCUCUACUAUUCAGAGUAGCAGUGUUGACAAUUCGUCUUUGCCUCAGCCUCGGAUGCUGAAAAUCCCCUCAAGUUAAUCAUUGACCUUGAUUUGCCAGCUUAAGCCAGAUUUGGGUUGGUUGCCUCUCUUUAGCCCUGGAGCGAGUACCUGCCGUUUCUACCACAGAUUCCCUGCCUGCAUAUAGAUCCUUAUCUACUUUAUUAGUUGGCUUUGUUUGUUUACUAUCGGGAAUAAUUCCCUCACUUCCCACUGAUAAUAGCCUUUCCACUCUGAGAAGAUAAAUGGAUUGUCCUCCCUACUCAUCACCUUGUAAGAAGAGGCUCAUGAAAGACUCAGAAAUGGCACCCUAUUCCCUAUAUAGUGCACUACUUUUGAUCAGCGAAGUAGUGCACUAAUGUAGGCAAUAGAUUACUUUGGGACACAGCCCGGGAGAGUCUUCAGACUGGAUGACAAAAUGUGUGCUUUGGAAGAAAGCUGAGGGUCGUAGUGAAAAUGAUGUGAAAUAGUGGUAGGCUGAGUGAAAGAGAUUGUUUUGUUUCUCAAGAAGAAUGACAAGAGUUGUUCAGAAAUGCUCUUCUUGGUGUGAAAUCCCAACAAACAUCAUGUUUGUGUAGCUUUUCGGGAAUAUUAGCAUGGUGUAGUUUUAAUCCGACUCCACCAGCAACUGUAGACAAGCGUAAAAUAUUUCAUUUCUAUUUCAUUUCUACUGAUAAUCUUUCUCUCUGUCUCUCUCUACUCAGUCUGUGUUCCCCAGGAUUCAGUUGGAUCCUCUGGAGAAGGACUGGCUACGAUCCUGUGCCCUGGGGAACACAGCUGCUCUCCGACAGCUCCUCACACAGGACCCCAGCCUGGCCUCAAAGAAGGUACUACCUCCCCCUAACCCUCACCCUCUACCUCGCCAUCAGUGCCAUUCUGGCCUCCAAGAAGAUACCAAAUAUAAGGCUCUG